rnacentral:rRNA from 1 species
CACAUCACGAAAGUGGAUUGUACUAGAAGUCUGUGCGCUGACCCGCAAGGGAGGCAGCGGCCCAAGGUAUGAUUCAUGAUUGGGGUG